UCUCAGUUCGGAUUGGAGCUGNAACCCGACUCCAUGAAGCUGGAUUCGCUAGUAAUCGCGCAUCAGCCACGGCGCGGUGAAUACGUUCCCGGGCCUUGUACACACCGCCCGUCAAGCCAUGGAAGCCGGGAGUGCCUGAAGUACGCGACCGCAAGGAGCGUCCUAAGGUAAAACCGGUGACUGGGGCUAAGUCGUAACAAGGUAGC
rnacentral:rRNA from 1 species